CCAACCUUCUUCGAACUGUAGAAACUUUCAGGUAUCGUCUUCUGAAGAAUGUUCCCUACGAUGGGAACUGCUUUUUUUCAUGUUGUUGGUGCCACAAAUGGUGAGGAUGGCAAGCACUUGAGAGAGAGAUUCGUUCAGCAUAUUGUAAGAGAGGUAUAAAACAUUGCUUUCGUGGGGAAGUUAUACGUCAACAUUCAAAGAAACAGACAAGUCAAAAGAUUUCCUUUGGCCAGAAGUUAUACAGACCAGAAAUUGUUAUGGAUGUAUGUGUGACCACUCAGACCACUCAGCCUAAAAGUAACUUAUGGGUGCUGCAGACCAAUUAUUCCGACGUCAUGGAUUCUAGGGUGUGCAAAGCAACUGCUGAACUCAUUUUACAAUCCGUACACAUCAUCACGCACUCCAAAGAUGCGAAAAAAACUGCCGCGGUUUGAGGUUGUAGAGUCC